rnacentral:rRNA from 1 species
GGGAGCCUGAGAAACGGCUACCACAUCCAAGGAUGGCAGCAGGCGCGCAAAUUACCCAAUCCCGACACGGGGAGGUAGUGACAAUAAAUAACAAUACGGGGUUCUUUAGGAUCUCGUAAUUGGAAUGAGUACAAUUUAAAUCUCUUAACGAGGAACAAUUGGAGGGCAAGUCUGGUGCCAGCAGCCGCGGUAAUUCCAGCUCCAAUAGCGUAUAUUAAAGUUGUUGCAGUUAAAAAGCUCGUAGUUGAAUUUCGGGGUUAGUAGGUUGGUCAUGCCUCUGGUAUGUACUGAUCUCACUGAUACCUCCUUCCUUAUGAACCGUAAUGCCAUUAAUUUGGUGUUGCGGGGAAUUUGGACUGUUACUUUGAAAAAAUUAGAGUGUUUAAAGCAGGCUAACGCUUGAAUACAUUAGCAUGGAAUAAUGAAAUAGGACGUUCGAUCUUAUUUUGUUGGUUUCUAGGAUUGACGUAAUGAUUAAUAGGGAUAGUUGGGGGCAUUAGUAUUCAAUUGUCAGAGGUGAAAUUCUUGGAUUUAUUGAAGACUAACUACUGCGAAAGCAUUUGCCAAGGAUGUUUUCAUUAAUCAAGAACGAAAGUUAGGGGACCGAAGACGAUCAGAUACCGUCGUAGUCUUAACCAUAAACUAUGCCGACUAGGGAUCGGAUGAUGUUAAUUUUCUAAUGACUCAUUCGGCGCCUUACG